UACGUAGGUGGCAAGCGUUGUCCGGAUUUAUUGGGCGUAAAGAGCGUGUAGGCGGCUUGGUAGGUCUCGCGUCAAAACCUGAGGCUCAACCUCAGUUCGCGUGGGAAACCACCUAGCUAGAGUCCGGAAGAGGAGAACGGAAUUCCCAGUGUAGCGGUGAAAUGCGCAGAUAUUGGGAAGAACACCGAUGGCGAAGGCAGCUCGCUGGGACGGUACUGACGCUGAGGCGCGAAAGCGUGGGGAGCAAACAGG
rnacentral:rRNA from 1 species